rnacentral:rRNA from 1 species
AGUGAACGCUGGCGGCGUGCUUAACACAUGCAAGUCGAACGAGAACGGAUUAUAGCUUGCUAUAAUUGUCAGCUAAGUGGCGCACGGGUGAGUAAUGUAUAGGUAAUAUGCCUCUUACUAAGGGAUAACAAAUGGAAACGUUUGCUAAUACCUUAUACUCCUUAUUAACAGAAGUUAAUAAGGGAAAGAUUUAUUGGUAAGAGAUUAGCCUGUAUUGUAUCAGUUAGUUGGUGGGGUAAUGGCUUACCAAGACUAUGACGCAUAACUGGUUUGAGAGGAUGAUCAGUCACACUGGAACUGAGACACCGUCCAGACUCCUACGGGAGGCAGCAGUGGGGAAUAUUGCACAAUGGACGAAAGUCUGAUGCAGCAACGCCGCGUGGAGGAUGACACAUUUCGGUGCGUAAACUCCUUUUAUAUGAGAAGAUAAUGACGGUAUUAUAUGAAUAAGCACCGGCUAACUCCGUGCCAGCAGCCGCAGUAA